AUUGAACGCUGGCGGCAUGCCUUACACAUGCAAGUCGAACGGCAGCACGGGAGCAAUCCUGGUGGCGAGUGGCGAACGGGUGAGUAAUAUAUCGGAACGUGCCCAGUCGUGGGGGAUAACGUAGCGAAAGCUACGCUAAUACCGCAUACGAUCUAUGGAUGAAAGCGGGGGAUCGCAAGACCUCGCGCGAUUGGAGCGGCCGAUAUCAGAUUAGGUAGUUGGUGAGGUAAAGGCUCACCAAGCCGACGAUCUGUAGCUGGUCUGAGAGGACGACCAGCCACACUGGGACUGAGACACGGUCCAGACUCCUACGGGAGGCAGCAGUGGGGAAUUUUGGACAAUGGACGCAAGUCUGAUCCAGCCAUUCCGCGUGCAGGAUGAAGGCCUCGGGUUGUAAACUGCUUUUGUACGGAACGAAAGGUUUCUAUUAAUACUAGGUAGCUCAUGACGGUACCGUAAGAAUAAGNACC
rnacentral:rRNA from 1 species